rnacentral:rRNA from 1 species
AAUCAAGUGCCUUAAGGGUGUUCGGUGGAUGCCUUGGCGCUGAGAGGCGAUGAAGGACGUGCUACGCUGCGAUAAGCCGUGGGGAGCUGCGAAGAAGCUUUGAUCCGCGGAUUUCCGAAUGGGGAAACCCACCUUCGAUAGCCGGAACUCCAAGACCUUGGUUUUGGGGUUCGAUUGGGAGACCGAGAGAAUUCAGGGCCGUGAGGUCUUGGAUUUCCGGUUAUCAAGAGAAGGUAUGAGAUCUCUGAAUACAUAGGAGGUUUCAAGCAAACCCAGGGAACUGAAACAUCUAAGUACCUGGAGGAAAGGACAUCAACCGAGACUCCGCUAGUAGUGGCGAGCGAACGCGGACCAGGCCAGUCAUGAAUGUAAGCCAACCAGAACCUGUCAGGAAAGCAGGGCCUCAGAGGGUGAUAGCCCCGUAUGGGUAAUGCGAACAUUCAUGCUCGAGUACGGCGGAA